rnacentral:rRNA from 1 species
GAGUUUGAUCAUGGCUCAGAUUGAACGCUGGCGGCAGGCCUAACACAUGCAAGUCGAGCGGAUGAAGGGAGCUUGCUCCUGGAUUCAGCGGCGGACGGGUGAGUAGUGCCUAGGAAUCUGCCUGGUAGUGGGGGAUAACGUCCGGAAACGGGCGCUAAUACCGCAUACGUCCUGAGGGAGAAAGUGGGGGAUCUUCGGACCUCACGCUAUCAGAUGAGCCUAGGUCGGAUUAGCUAGUUGGUGGGGUAAAGGCCUACCAAGGCGACGAUCCGUAACUGGUCUGAGAGGAUGAUCAGUCACACUGGAACUGAGACACGGUCCAGACUCCUACGGGAGGCAGCAGUGGGGAAUAUUGGACAAUGGGCGAAAGCCUGAUCCAGCCAUGCCGCGUGUGUGAAGAAGGUCUUCGGAUUGUAAAGCACUUUAAGUUGGGAGGAAGGGCAGUAAGUUAAUACCUUGCUGUUUGACGUUACCAACAGAAUAAGCACCGGCUAACUUCGUGCCAGCAGCCG